rnacentral:rRNA from 1 species
GUGCCAGCAGCUGCGGUAAUACGGAGGGUGCAAGCGUUAAUCGGAAUUACUGGGCGUAAAGCGCACGCAGGCGGUCUGUCAAGUCGGAUGUGAAAUCCCCGGGCUCAACCUGGGAACUGCAUUCGAAACUGGCAGGCUGGAGUCUUGUAGAGGGGGGUAGAAUUCCAGGUGUAGCGGUGAAAUGCGUAGAGAUCUGGAGGAAUACCGGUGGCGAAGGCGGCCCCCUGGACAAAGACUGACGCUCAGGUGCGAAAGCGUGGGGAGCAAACAGGAUUAGAUACCCUGGUAGUCCACGCCGUAAACGAUGUCGAUUUGGAGGUUGUGCCCUUGAGGCGUGGCUUCCGGAGCUAACGCGUUAAAUCGACCGCCUGGGGAGUACGGCCGCAAGGUUAAAACUCAAAUGAAUUGACGGGGCCCGCACAAGCGGUGGAGCAUGUGGUUUAAUUCGAUGCAACGCGAAGACCUUACCUGGUCUUGACAUCCACAGAACUUAGCAGAGAUGCUUUGGUGCCUUCGGGAACUGUGAGAC